UGGCUCUCCCAUCGAUGAAGAACGCAGCGAAAUGCGAUAAGUAAUGUGAAUUGCAGAAUUCAGUGAAUCAUCGAAUCUUUGAACGCACCUUGCGCCCUUUGGUAUUCCGAAGGGCAUGCCUGUUUGAGUGUCAUUAAAUUAUCAACCUAAGAAUUUAUUUUCUUAAGGCUUGGACUUGAGGGUUCUGCUGGCUUUCCUUCAUUGGAAUUGGGUCUGCUCCCUUUAAAUGUAUUAGUGGGAUCUCUUUGUAGCCGGUCUCUCGGUGUGAUAAUUAUCUGCACUGUUUGUACUUACAGAUGAGGACUUGCUUAUAACUGUCCUUGACGGGACACUAUACUUUUUUUUUAAUUUGACCUCAAAUCAGGUAGGACUACCCGCUGA
rnacentral:misc_RNA from 1 species